GGUCCCACUAACACAUGGUUACUGACAUGGAACAGCUCAGUAGCUGUGACCUGGCAACACUGCUGAGUACCCCUGGGGAGGAGCUUAUUUGCAUGGCAGCCCCACCCCCACAGGUGGUGGGAGUUAUAAGGACAGCUGUGCAGGCUGACUGUGCUGAGGGGUCUUGAGAAGCACAGCACUGGGGCGUCUACACCAUGGCCUGGGUUCCUCUGCUGCUCACACUUCUGGCUCACUGCACAGGGACCACUUCCCAGGCCACGGUGACUCAGGAAGCUUCACUGUCCACAUCUCCUGGAGGGACAGUCACCCUCACCUGUGGAUCCAGUACUGGAACCGUCACCUCCAGUAACUAUGCCAGCUGGAUCCAACAGAACCCCUACCAGGUACCACGGGGUUUAAUAGGUGGUACCAACAACCGGGUUCCAGGGGUCCCUGCCCGAUUCUCAGGCUCCCUGCUUGAAGACAAGGACGCCCUCACCAUCACAGGGGCCCAGCCCAAAGAUGAGGCCGAGUAUUACUGUGCUCUGUGGUACAGCAACCAUUUCCACAGUGACAGAUGCAGGUGGGGAAGUGAGACAAAAAACCCCGGCUCAGUGCACCCUCUGCCCCUGAGUCUUUCAUUUUGUAUGUGCAAAGCUGAAGACAAGGCCUAGGAAAGGUGUUCUGCAUGUGAGAGGGAUAUGAAUUUGGGGAGACCAGAGGGCAGGCUGUGGUAAACAACCACAGAGAAAGCCCCCAAUGACCCUACCUCCUGGAGUCCAUGCCAUUGUGUGAUCUCCUCCAUUGAG